rnacentral:lncRNA from 1 species
UGUUCCGGUCAUUGUCGAGGUUGGUCAUGUCAGUCAGCGAUGGUCAUGUUACGUUUUUGAAAGUUUUUGAAAAUAAAUCUAUAUUUUUUAUAACAUAAAUGUUUCAGAAUGUGACAUAUCAUUAUAUGUUUCAAAUCUGAGAUAAUUCUUUUGAAAAAUAAAAAAGUUAUUAGCAUUUUUAUUUGGUCCUGUUAUUGUCGAAGUUGGUCCUGUCAUUAUCAGAGUUGGUCAUGUCACGUUUUCUAAAGUUUCUUACAUAUUUAAAAAAAAAAAAUUCUUAAAUCUAUUUAUCAAAUGAUGAAAUCUUAUUAUAUUUCAAAUUUCAGAAAAAUAUUUUGAGAAAUAAAAGAGAAAUUAGCAAUUUCAUCUGGUCCGGUCAUUGUCGAGGUUGGUCCUGUCAG